ACAAAUACAACAGAAAAACGCUGCAUAUACAGAAAUGAUGCAAACUAAAUACAACACACAAACCCCGAAAACAAACGCAACAAGAAAACGCUGCACGAUAUGCAAAGUCCAAAGCACGUACAAAUCCCAAAACACAUUUAAAAAAAAACAUUCCGGAAGUGCUCCAGGCCUCUAGGGGGCGCGCUACGUGGAACAGAUUGAUGUAAUACCAGACAUAGAGAGAACGAACAAGAGUGAUGGAAAUCGGGAGGAAAUAAAGUUCUUAUAAUAAAGAUAUAAGAAGGCCGCCAUGUUUUGUCCUUUCUGUGGCCAACAUCUGGGGACAGUUCAAGUGUUUUGUGGCUCCUGUAGCAAAAUUGUACAGUUUUUGGCAGAAGUUGAACACAACAGCAUUCCAUAAGGAGGGUCAGGAACUCACGCUUGGGACCACCAGUGUCCUCUCCAUCCUCAGUGUGUCCCUCAUCAUCAGUGAACUUAACUGACAUCUCAUGAGAGGGAUCGAAUGAGGCACCUUUGAAGCCGCGGAUUGCUCCAUCCCAUACAUUGGCUCUAUUAAUAUUGAACCUGCUGCAAGAUGUAUUUGUUCUUUUUGCAGAGAGUUCUGCAACAAUGUGUGCCGCAGUCAGGUAUUCUGUGCUGGGAAAGACAAAGUGGUGUAUUGGAAUAUUAAAUGAUGAAGCUAGUAAUAAGAUUUACAGUAUAGAAUAGACAACUUAAGUGGUAAUAGUAACAAUUAAUAUCUUUGCUCCAUUUUGUCUUCUGGCUCAGACUGGCUAUCAAUAAGGAUAAGUGCAUACACAUUUGUGUAGUUGCUGCAGUGAGAAGACAGUUGAAUAAUUAUUUUCAAAUACAUAAUAUAUGCAUGACAGUCAUAUUUACAAAAGGAUGUCGAUCCUCUUCCUGUUUUUUUUCCCAUACAUUGGCUUCUAAACUGACAACAGCACUUUUGUCAUACUCCUGCACAACCUUGUAAACAUUUGAAAUGGAUGCAAGAAACAAUAUCUGAUCUUUGAAAAAUAUUUGUGGGUGUUUUUUGUAUCGUCUUCACUAAGAUGUCAGAUGUUGUGGGUGUCAUUUGGAAAUGUAUGAAAGUAUAAUUGUUCUGCUUCCUGGCAAUGUUACCCACUGUGAUUGGAGGCUAUACAAACAAACAUGUAAAAUAAAGAUACACACCACACAACUGUGUCACGAUGCAACUGUCAACAUCGUCUACCUAUAGAAGUGGUUCUGACCCGGGGCAGACUGGGCCUCUUCCUGGAAUGGGGUUGGUGCUCCAUCCUAUUUUUACCCAGGAAACAAGUGCACACAAAGGCAUUUAUUGAUUUCAUGUUCACAAAUUCAAACCUACAUGGUAUAAUUACAUUUGUAAUUAGUCUUACCCGAUCAGACGCUGGUUGUGGGUACCUGAGAGGUCUGAUAAAGGUAAACAACAAAUAUAUUCAAACUACUG